ACCCGCUGAACUUAAGCAUAUCAAUAAGCGGAGGAAAAGAAACCAACAGGGAUUGCCUCAGUAACGGCGAGUGAAGCGGCAAGAGCUCAAAUUUAAAAGCCGACGUAGCUUUAAGAGACGUCCGCAUUGUAAUUUGAAGAGGCAUUCUCGGGUCGGGGCUCAGGCCUAAGUUCCUUGGAAGAGGGCGUCGUGGAGGGUGAGAACCCCGUUCGCGGCCUGCUGUCGACCUUUCCCCGAUCCACACGAGGUGCCAUCGAAGAGUCGAGUUGUUUGGGAAUGCAGCUCAAAGCGGGUGGUAAAUUCCCAUCUAAGCUAAAUAUUGACGGAGACCGAUAGCGAACAAGUAGAGUGAUCGAAAGAUGAAAAGCACUUUGGAAAGAGAGUUAAACAGCACGUGAAAUUGUUGAAAGGGAAGCGCUUGAGACCAGUCACGGACCGAGGCGAUCAGUGGGACGUCCCUCUCGGGGGAGGAACCGCGCACUCGCUUUUCGGGUUUUCCGGGUCAACAUCGGUUGGGACGGUGUCAGAAAGGUCGCGGGAACGUGGCUCCCUUCACGGGGAGUGUUAUAGCCCGUGGCGUCAAAGUCGCCAGUUUCGACCGAGGACCGCGCUCGUCUUUUUCGAGCAAGGAUGUUGACGUAAUGGUCCC
rnacentral:rRNA from 1 species